UACGAAGGGGGCUAGCGUUGCUCGGAAUCACUGGGCUUAAAGGGCGCGUAGGCGGGUGUUCAAGUCCGGGGUGAAAUCCUCCAGCUCAACUGGAGAACUGCCUUGGAUACUGGGCACCUCGAGGGUGGUAGGGGUAUGCGGAACUAUCGGUGGAGCGGUGAAAUGCGUUGAUAUCGAUAGGAACUCCGGUGGCGAAGGCGGCAUACUGGACCACUUCUGACGCUGAGGCGCGAAGGCCAGGGGAGCGAACGGG
rnacentral:rRNA from 1 species